rnacentral:misc_RNA from 1 species
GGAAGUAAAGUCGUAACAAGGUUUCCGUAGGUGAACCUGCGGAAGGAUCCUUAUUGUAUAACCGAGGUGCGAGGGCUGUCGCUGACCCGAAAGGUCGUGCACGCCCGAGUGCCCUCACACACAUCCAUCUCACCCCUAUGUGCACCACCGCGUGGGUCCCCCUUUGGCUUGUUCGGAGGGGGGCUUACGUUUUCACACAAACUUUGUAUGCAGUGUAGAAUGUAUUUUUUGUUUUUGCGAUCACGCAAUCAAUACAACUUUCAACAACGGAUCUCUUGGCUCUC